rnacentral:piRNA from 1 species
UGGUUGGUUGUCCUUUCCAGGUUCCAGGUC